CGGACGGCGGCGUUUCUUGGC
rnacentral:miRNA from 1 species